UGGAAGCAGCUAUUCCUUUAAAGAGUGCGUAACAGCUCACUGGUCGAGCGACAGGGCGUCGAUAAUAAUCGGGCAUCAAACCUAAUACCGAAGCGAAGGAUUGCAGCAAUGCAGUGGUAGGGGAGCAUUCCAAAGACGGCGAAGGUAUCUCGUAAGGGGUGCUGGAGACUUUGGAAAAGCAAAUGUAGGCAUAAGUAACGAUAAGGCGGGCGAGAAACCCGCCCACCGUAAGACCCAGGUUUCCUGAUCAACGUUAAUCGGAUCAGGGUUAGUCGGGGCCUAAGGCGAACCCGAAUGGGGUAGUCGAUGGACAAUGGGUUAAUAUUCCCAUACUAUUUAUACAGGUGAUGGAGUGACGGAGUGAUGAAAGAUCCGCCCGGUGACGGAAUACCGGGUUAAAGCGAGUAGGUAUUGGUCUGGUAGUUAAAUGCGCCGGAUUAGCCGAACGUGAUAGUACCGAGCGUCUUCGGACAAUUGGAUAGUGAUCCUAAGGGCUUCCAAGAAAAACUUCUAGCGUUAAGCGUAUAGAUACCCGUACCGCAAACCGACACAGGUGGUCGAGGAGAGAAUCCUAAGGUGCUCGAGUGAAUCAUGGCUAAGGAACUCGGCAAAAUGGCCCUGUAACUUCGGGAGAAGGGGCGCCCCCUGUGAGGGGGGCCGCAGUGAAGAGGCCCAGGCGACUGUUUAACAAAAACACAUGGCUUUGCAAAGUUUAACGACUAAGUAUAAGGCCUGACACCUGCCCGGUGCUGGAAGGUUAAGAGGGGAUGUUAGCGCAAGCGAAGCAUUGAAUCGAAGCCCCAGUAAACGGCGGCCGUAACUAUAACGGUCCUAAGGUAGCGAAAUUCCUUGUCGGGUAAGUUCCGACCUGCACGAAUGGCGUAACGAUGGCGGCGCUGUCUCCACCCGAGACUCAGUGAAAUUGAAAUCGCUGUGAAGAUGCAGCGUUCCCGCGGCAAGACGGAAAGACCCCGUGAACCUUUACUAUAGCUUUACAUUGAACGUUGAGUUCGUCUGUGUAGGAUAGGUGGGAGGCUAUGAAAUGUGGACGCUAGUUUGCAUGGAGCCAACCUUGAAAUACCACCCUGAUGUGCUUGACGUUCUAACCUAGGUCCGUAAUCCGGAUCGGGGACCAUGUAUGGUGGGUAGUUUGACUGGGGCGGUCUCCUCCCAAAGAGUAACGGAGGAGCACGAAGGUGCGCUAAUCAUGGUCGGAAAUCAUGAGGUUAGUGUAAAGGCACAAGCGCGCUUGACUGCGAGACUGACAAGUCGAGCAGGUACGAAAGUAGGUCUUAGUGAUCCGGUGGUUCUGUAUGGAAGGGCCAUCGCUCAACGGAUAAAAGGUACUCCGGGGAUAACAGGCUGAUACCGCCCAAGAGUUCAUAUCGACGGCGGUGUUUGGCACCUCGAUGUCGGCUCAUCACAUCCUGGGGCUGUAGUCGGUCCCAAGGGUAUGGCUGUUCGCCAUUUAAAGUGGUACGCGAGCUGGGUU
rnacentral:rRNA from 1 species